ensembl:lncRNA
GAGAGAGAGAGAAAGAUGUUUCAGCCCUAUAAAGGCCUGUUGAUCUGCUCAGUUAUUAUCGGUGAAUCACAGCAGAGGGAGACAGCAUGGGUUUAAUCUUAAUUUGCUGUGUUUGCUUAACGAGUUUACAGUAGAGUGAUUUCUCUCCCCUCCUCCGCAUUCACUGAGCCACUCAGAGGGAAGCUCUGUUCGGGGGAGGAUAGUUUUACCGACAGUCAGCCAGGCAGAAUGGAAGCAAUUUGGAAGGACAUCUACUCUGUUGUGCUAGGAUGAAAGUAAUGACAUCUUCAAUGCUGUUUUCACCCUCGGAGUGAUUUUAACAAUGUAUCUGCCUGUGGGGGCUUAAUGAAGUAGGCUGAGGGAUGUGCAGUGAACUGUCUCUGCCCACUGGUUCACCCCAUUCUCUCUGUCCACUGAAUCACACUGGACGCAUAUGGUGUUCUGCAGACCUGGGUCCAAAUAGUGUUUGAAAUAUUUCAUAUACUUUAGUUGUGCUUGAUUCAGCUUGCCUGGUGCGAUGGUCCUAAAAGUGCAAACGCCACCCACCCGGUGCUCCAGGGAUUGAGUCACCAUAAAAGACUGGGCCUAAAGAGCUGUGGUCUUUGCUCAGCUCUUCAGUUGCUUAGAACAAAAACAAACAUCUAUGAUGAAAACAAAACAUUGACACGUACAGUAUUUCAUCAUCCCCCCCAAAAAUGUGUCCCCUGAGAUCGUCUAUGACAAGACAGGCAGUCUACAAAGAGGGCUGUCAAGUGCAAAGGAUGUAGACACUACGUUCUUCUGCAAGCUUGUGUGGUUAUAUUCUCAACACAACAUUUGUUUUUGGAAGAUGUCAAAGCAUAGAAAUCUCGUUGGUACUGAUUGUUGAACCCAAUAAACCAAUGAUUGGCAGUCUUGAGUUGCCAGUGCACAUACAUUAGGAAUUUCUGAAUUGUCUUGGUAAUUUUGAUAUAAUUAACUAAUGGCAAUCAACAGAGGAAAGGAUAUCUCUCGCAACCAUAUAAGAGGGAGCAUAGCACCAAUCAUGAUAAGGCAUAGGCGGGGGUUAAAAAGCCAUGAUUCUGUUUGAAUGUGAUUACGCAACAAGGAAAUGAGCUGAAUUCUACUGAAUUUAAAAAAUGAUGGUGCAUAAUGCCACUGCUCAUUAGAAUGACUUCAGAGUGAGCUAUGUCAACAAGGCUGCACACAAUUGAUGCCCAGAUAAAAUAUUUAUAUAUUUUUUAAAGUGAAUUUGGAACAAGCCUUGAGCUUCAUCCCACAUACAACAUUCUCAGUCAGCAAAGCUGUGCCACAGACAGCAAUGGGGCAGGAAAUGGAAGAGCAGCUUAUGAAUCAUAGGGACUAUACAGCCAUAUGACUAUCUUUCAUAGCAUGUUCAGCCAAUUAAUUGGACCUCGAGGCUCAUCUCAAGAAUGGGCUUUGAUGUAUGACCCUUUGUGAUCUGCAUUAAGACUUUAAGGAUCAAGUCAUUAUGAAUACACUAAUAUUGUCACAUGCAGUAUUUUUCACAUUUUGCAUGUAAACGUAUUGUUUUCCCGUUAAAUCAGAUAUGGGUCAAAGAUAUGAAUAGCUAAACUGUUAAACUAUAGGAGUACUAUUUGUGCCGCACAUGUGUUCCAAAUAAGCUCGACACCAAUGACAUCAUACCAGAAUGCCUGUGUUGCAUCCCAUACGGUUCCAACAAGGUUCUGCCCAAGAGCAAAGGGGUGACACUUCAUCCGAUGGAGAAAGAAAUAUAGAAAUAUAUUUUCUGUGAAAUACAUUUCCUGUGUUAAAUUGUGUUAGUUCACCG